CAGAAGAUAGUUUAUAAAAAUUUUAAUUUUGGAGAUUAAAGAUAAGAAUUAUUUCUUUCUUCUGA
rnacentral:tRNA from 1 species